GACAGAGGGUGCAAACGUUGCUCGGAAUCAUUGGGCGUAAAGAGCGUGUAGGCGGUCACUUAAGUCCUGCGUGAAAUCUUGCGGCUCAACCGCAAGCGGUCGUGGGAAACUGGGUGGCUAGAGUGCGGGAGAGGAGAGUGGAAUUCCUGGUGUAGCGGUGGAAUGCGCAGAUAUCAGGAGGAACACCAAUGGCGAAGGCAGAUCUCUGGGCCGUAACUGACGCUGGAGGUGCGAAAGCGUGGGGAGCAAACAGG
rnacentral:rRNA from 1 species